rnacentral:lncRNA from 1 species
GAGCAGAGGCCACAGGAGCGCGCGAGAGAACGACCGGGGCACGAGCGAAGAGGGCCCGAGCCCGGCCACUGCAGGGACGGCGCCGGUUAUCGUUCCCGUCACGGCCCUGAAGACAGAGGCCGCAGAGGCAGAAUAAGCCCCGCCGCGCUCGUCACUGCCCGCACACCGCCUCACCUGGACUUGCCUACUCCACUCUCGCCGAUGAUGAGGAUCUUCAGAGUGGUCAACACGUCCUCGUCCAUCCUGACCCUGCUCCGCUCCUGCUCCGGCUCCAGCUGGCCACCGGGUCCGCCUCUUAGCCCUUCACCGCGGAGGGCUGCCUGCGCAUGCGCACCGCUCGACGGCUGCCACCUUCCUUUCACACCGGGUGUUUGGGUUGCUGAAGCUCCCAACACCCGUUCCGCCUUGAGGUAGCUCUGCGUCUGCGCACGCCGGGAGUCAGGCUUCUUUCCCGAGAGCGUGUUCCUCCCGUGCGCAAGCGCAGAUGGGGAGAGCCGCGUGUGACCUGCCUUCCCAAGCUUGAACUCCUCCCCAACCCUUAGAUAGGCCUCUUAAGGUUGGGUAAUUAAUUGGGCGAUGACUUGAGUCUCAGGAAUAUGUACAAAGCUUCUUUUAUUGCAGCAGUCGCUCAUGACAGCUGUUUUGAGGUGGGAAAAUCAUUCCGCUUUGAAGCAGAUUACCUUAAAUGUGGGUCCAACACUACCAUAUAAUCACUUUGUCAUGUUCCUUAGCCACCUUCGCGUGUUUCCCCAUCUCAGGGAGACAAUAAUUACUCUUAUUUGCUUCUUAGAAUUGUUAUGAAGACUAAAUGAGUUAAUAAAGUCCUCUAUGAAAGAUGCAAACAAGUUCUAACCUCUUAGAUUGAAGAGUAUCCUUCACAUGUUAAUUCAUCUUGAAAGGGAGAUGUAGACUUCAUGUAGAUCAGGUGCAUAUAAAUCUCUGGCACAAUUCCAAACCAACUAUUCUUGCUUAUAAAAACUGCUUCGUCAUAACUGCAGGAAUUGGGAAUGUAAACCUUGUCUCCUUUACCACACUGUAAAUCUUAGUGAGGGUACCAAAUCUUUCAUUUAAUGCCAAACAAAGUGCCUGGUACAUGGCAGGUCUAUAAACUUUAGUUCUCAUCCCUUAUUUCCUUAUACUUUCCGCUAAUGUCAUACACAAUGGACAUUUGAUUAAAGAAUAUAAGUAAAAUUUAGGAAUUAAUUUUUCAAAUAAUUUAUAAAGCUCUUCUAUCUGAUAUCCACAUGGUUCCUUCACCUUCUUCAGAUCUUGGCUCACAUGUUUCCUUCUUACUGAGGUUACUUCCCUAUUCAGUACUAAAAUUUGCAAAUCCCUCCAGCAUUCACUCUACGUCUUUGUAUUAUUUGUCUGCAUAGCAUGAUCCUCUGAAAUACUAGAUAUUCUAGUGCUUUGUUUACCGUCUAAUCUUCCCCCAAAGAGAAGUCUUAUUGGGGCAAGGAUUUUUUGUUUGUUUCGUUUACCCAUAUAUCAUCAGUAUCUAGAAUACUCCCUGACACAUAGUAUGUUCUAAAUACAUAACUGCUCAAGGAAUUAACUGAAUGCAUGUUGUAGAGUUCAUACCUAAACUUGGAGAAUGAUGUCAGUGAGACAACCUUAAUCUCUCUUUGCAAUUUUUCUUGCUCAUCAUUUAAACACUCUUGUUCUUUAAGUUUUAGUUUGUCUUUAUCUUCUUAAUCUAUAUACAUUGUCACCUUUUGUCUUCUUGGAUUUACAUGGUCAUUUAUUCCCACUUUCUUUGUCCCUAAAGUAUAUUUCUGGCCCAGAUUUUUCUUCUCAGGUUCAGGCCAACACACAACUGCCAAAACAUCUCCAUAUGAACAUGCCCAAGUUGAAUAUGCCAACCUAAACAUGACAGAUACUGAACUCACUAUCUUUUCCUUUACAAUAGCUUUUUUAACAUUUAUUUUUAUUUUUUAUUUUUAGUGUUGAUGGACCUUUAUUUUAUUUUAUUUUAUUUGUGAUGCUGAGAAACAAACCCAGCGCCUUACACAUGGCAAGCAAGUGCUCUACCACUGAGCCACAACCCCAGCCCCUACAAUAGUUUUUUCACCUAACUUUCUUCUUAAUGAAUGACAUUGUUAACACUUCUUUAAUUUCCUCUCUCUCACUCCCCACAUCCAUUUAGUCCUCACAGAUUUACUCCUUUAAGCAUGCCUGAAAUUUACCCACCUUUUCCAUCUCUUAUUAUCACUGCUAUGGUCAUCACCAUCUGUUUGCAGGAUUACUGUAUUGGCUAUACAUCUGACCUACUCUCUCUGCUUCCCUCACACUAUGAUACUGCAGCCAAAUUGGUAUUUUAAAAUGCUAAUUAACUUAUUCUGCAUUCUUCAAUCCAUCCAGAGGUUCCUCCCUGCCUUUACAAGUAUUUGUUAGCUUAUUAUAAAUACUGAUAUCCUUCCUACCUCAUCUCUUACUAUUGUGUAUCUUGCAUAUCUUGUGUAUCUGUAUUUCAGCCAAACUAGACUUCUAUAUUUUCAUUUUAACCAUGUGUAUCUCCAGGACAUCAUUUAUAUUGUUCCUUCUGCCUGUAGUACUUUUCCUGUCCUCUCCUCUGUACAUACUCUGGCACAUUUACUUGGAUAACUCCUAUUCAUUCUUUGGGUCCCAUCUCUUGAAUUCCUUCCCCCAGACAAUUCCCAUGGCAGUGUUACCUGUUUCUCUUAUAUGCUCUGCUAAUAGCCUAUACUUCUAUCAUGGUGUGUAUCCCACAGUAUUAUGUGUUUACCUCUCUGUUCUCCUAAUAAAAUGUAGGCUUCUCUAAAGCAGAAUUGUCAUUUUUUUUGUCUCCAGCAUCUAGUACAGUGCCUAACCUAGAGUAGUUGCUCAAAAGUGUUUGUUGAUAUAAAUACCCAAAUCAGCCUUCGGAAUUUGGAAC